rnacentral:rRNA from 1 species
AUGUCUUCUUCAAGCUCCCCCGCCACCUCGCAGAUCCAGAGCCCGGCGCAUGUGGAUAUGUCGAUCUUCGUCUGCCCGCGGUGUCGUAGCGUUGAUCGGAGGAUUUCUCGCACACCGAAGAACCAUAUUCGUCCGUUCUACGUGUGCAGCGAGAAUGGGGUAAAAUGUUUUUUCCUUUGGGUCGAUGCUCUGGCCAAGACUCUGAUGAAUGAACUGCAAGAAGAGCACGAAGAAUGGUUGCUCAUCCUGCCAUGAACGGCAGUGGCCGCAGCAAGAGCUUCGGAAGAAGAGAAGGAGGGCAGAGCACGCAAUGACAGAGAGCUAGCUGUUGAGCUUAAGAGGUUGAACAAGAAGGUUAGGAAGCUCAAAGAUCAAGCACAAAUACCCAUUUGCAAUUACUUUUGGACAUUUGUAGGUAUGGUAAUCGCACUGGGUGUAAUGUUGAAAUUGUAUGGAAAGGCAUGA